rnacentral:rRNA from 1 species
CGGGGUGAGUAACGCGUGAGGAUCUGCCUAUAGGUUGGGGACAACAGAUGGAAACGUCUGCUAAUACCCAAUGUGCCGAGAGGUGAAAGCUUUAGUGCCUGUAGAUGAGCUCGCGUCCGAUUAGCUAGUUGGUAGGGUAAAGGCCUACCAAGGCGACGAUCGGUAGCUGGUCUGAGAGGAUGAUCAGCCACACUGGGACUGAGACACGGCCCAG